rnacentral:rRNA from 1 species
GACGAACGCUGGCGGCGCGCUUAACACAUGCAAGUCGAACGGAAAGGCCUGCUUUCCCUUGUGGAUUGCGGGUACUCGAGUGGCGAACGGGUGAGUAACACGUGAGUGAUCUGCCCCCAACUUGGGUAUAAGCCUGGGAAACUGGGUCUAAUUCCCGAUAGGACUGCAGGGUGGUGCCUGUGGUGGAAAACGAUUUUCUAGUGGUUGGGGAUGAGCUCGCGGCCUAUCAGCUUGUUGGUGGGGUAAUGGCCUACCAAGGCGGCGACGGGUAGCCGGCCUGGGAGGGUGGACGGCCACAUUGGGACUGAGGUACGGCCCAGACUCCUACGGGAGGCAGCAGUGGGGAAUACUGCACAAUGGGCGGAAGCCUGAUGCAGCGACGCCGCGUGGGGGAUGACGGCCUUCGGGUGGUAAACUCCUUUCGACCGCGAGGAAGCCACCUGGUUGGAAGGGUGGUGACGGUAGUGGUAGAAGAAGCACCGGCUAACUACGUG